rnacentral:rRNA from 1 species
GGGUUGUGAGGUUAAGCGACUAAGCGUACACGGUGGAUGCCCUGGCAGUCAGAGGCGAUGAAGGGCGUGCUAAUCUGCGAUAAGCGCCGGUAAGGUGAUAUGAACCGUUAUAACCGGCGAUACCCGAAUGGGGAAACCCAGUGUGAUUCGUCACACUAUCAUUACGUGAAUACAUAGCGUAAUGAAGCGAACCGGGGGAACUGAAACAUCUAAGUACCCCGAGGAAAAGAAAUCAACCGAGAUUCCCCCAGUAGCGGCGAGCGAACGGGGAGGAGCCCAGAGCCUGAAUCAGCAUGUGUGUUAGUGGAAGCGUCUGGAAAGGCGCGCGAUACAGGGUGACAGCCCCGUACACAAAAGCGCAUGUGUUGUGAGCUCGAUGAGUAGGGCGGGACACGUGGUAUCCUGUCUGAAUAUGGGGGGACCAUCCUCCAAGGCUAAAUACUCCUGACUGACCGAUAGUGAACCAGUACCGUGAGGGAAAGGCGAAAAGAACCCCGGCGAGGGGAGUGAAAAAGAACCUGAAACCGUGUACGUACAAGCAGUGGGAGCACCCUUUGGGGUGUGACUGCGUACCUUUUGUAUAAUGGGUCAGCGACUUAUAUUCUGUAGCAAGGUUAACCGAAUAGGGGAGCCGGAGGGAAACCGAGUCUUAAUUGGGCGUUAAGUUGCAGGGUAUAGACCCGAAACCCGGUGAUCUAGCCAUGGGCAGGUUGAAGGUUGGGUAACACUAACUGGAGGACCGAACCGACUAAUGUUGAAAAAUUAGCGGAUGACCUGUGGCUGGGGGUGAAAGGCCAAUCAAACCGGGAGAUAGCUGGUUCUCCCCGAAAGCUAUUUAGGUAGCGCCUCGUGAACUCAUCUCCGGGGGUAGAGCACUGUUUCGGCUAGGGGGCCAUCCCGGCUUACCAACCCGAUGCAAACUGCGAAUACCGGAGAAUGUUAUCACGGGAGACACACGGCGGGUGCUAACGUCCGUCGUGAAGAGGGAAACAACCCAGACCGCCAGCUAAGGUCCCAAAGUCAUAGUUAAGUGGGAAACGAUGUGGGAAGGCCCAGACAGCCAGGAUGUUGGCUUAGAAGCAGCCAUCAUUUAAAGAAAGCGUAAUAGCUCACUGGUCGAGUCGGCCUGCGCGGAAGAUGUAACGGGGCUAAACUAUGCACCGAAGCUGCGGCAGCGACACUGUGUGU